rnacentral:rRNA from 1 species
CCUACGGGGGGCAGCAGUGAGGAAUAUUGGUCAAUGGCCGGAAGGCUGAACCAGCCAUGCCGCGUGAAGGUCAGUGCCCUAUGGGCGUUAAACUUCUUUUGUGCGGGAGCAAUAAUGGUCACGUGUGGCCAGACGAGAGUACCGUACGAAUAAGCAUCGGCUAACUCCGUGCCAGCAGCCGCGGUAAUACGGGGGAUACAAGCGUUAUCCGGAUUUAUUGGGUUUAAAGGGUGCGUAGGCUGUGAGGUAAGUCAGCGGGGAAAUGCCCCCGCUCAACGGGGUGAAGUGCCAUUGAUACUGCCUUGCUGGAAUGCGGAUGCGGUGGGAAGAAUGUGUGGUGUAGCGGUGAAAUGCAUAGAUAUCACACAGAACACCGAUUGCGAAGGCAUCUCACGAAUCCGCGAUUGACGCUGAUGCACGAAAGCGUGGGUAUCAAACAGGAUUAGAUACCCGGGUAGUC